AACAACGGAUCUCUUGGUUCCGGCAUCGAUGAAGAACGCAGCGAAAUGCGAUACGUAAUGUGAAUUGCAGAAUUCAGUGAAUCAUCGAGUCUUUGAACGCACAUUGCGCCCUCUGGUAUUCCGGAGGGCAUGCCUGUCCGAGCGUCAUUGCUGCCCUC
rnacentral:rRNA from 1 species